rnacentral:rRNA from 1 species
AAACUUUCAACAACGGAUCUCUUGGUUCCCGCAUCGAUGAAGAACGCAGCGAAACGCGAUAGUUAAUGUGAAUUGCAGAAUUCAGUGAAUCAUCGAGUCUUUGAACGCACAUUGCGCCCAUCGGUAUUCCUUUGGGCAUGUCUGUUUGAGCGUCAUU